rnacentral:rRNA from 1 species
AACGCGAAGAACCUUACCUGGCCUUGACAUACUAGAAACUUUCCAGAGAUGGAUUGGUGCCUUCGGGAAUCUAGAUACAGGUGCUGCAUGGCUGUCGUCAGCUCGUGUCGUGAGAUGUUGGGUUAAGUCCCGCAACGAGCGCAACCCUUUUCCUUACUUGCCAGCAUUUCGGAUGGGAACUUUAAGGAUACUGCCAGUGACAAACUGGAGGAAGGCGGGGACGACGUCAAGUCAUCAUGGCCCUUACGGCCAGGGCUACACACGUGCUACAAUGGUCGGUACAAAGGGUUGCUACACAGCGAUGUGAUGCUAAUCUCAAAAAGCCGAUGUAGUCGGAUUGGAGUCUGCAACUCGGCUCCAUGAAGUCGGAAUCGCUAGUAAUCGCGA